AUUUUUUUUUAUUUGCUGUGUUGAUCAUAUUCAUUUUGCAUUGUGUGUGUGUGUAUAUAUAUAUAAUAUAUAUUUUCACAAUGCUUUAUAACAUAUUAUUAAAAUUUAGCUUUUUAGCAUUCGCACUAUCUCCCACUAAUUCCAUGUUGGAAUCAGUGUAGGACCCACCAAUAUUGGGGUACUGUAAAGUAGUGUUGGUCCUAACACAACAUGGACAUAUGGUAGAACUGAAUCCCCAUAUGUUUCCUGAAAUAGGUUAUCUCAACUAGCCUAAAAACAUUUUUAAACUAUUUUUAUUUGUGCUCUGUUCCCUAAUCUCUAUUUAGCUAAAUAACUCCAGCAGCACAUAGCUUUAUAGAAGCAAUUAUUUUACCCAUCAUGUGUGGCUGGUUGUGGUUGUGGUCCUCUCGAUUUUUGAAUUUAAAAACGAACAAAAAAAUCAGUUAUUUACUUAUUACUGGUAUUUAUAAAGCGCCAACAGAUUCCGCAGUGCUGUACAAUUAGUGGAGAACAUACAAUAUACACAGACAAAUACAAAAGGUAGAGAGGGCCCUGCCCGCCAGUCGAGAUCUAGCCAUUUAAGCUCUUUUACACAAAGUGCAUAGCUAGAUUGCCCAUGAGCUUACAAUCUAAAGGAUACCGUGGGGAUUUGAGACGAGAGGUAGCAAAGGACAUUUGGAAGUGAAGGCUAAAUAAGUAAACAGAGUUGCAGCUAUUAGUAGAGUAUGUAAAUGCUCUUAUUGCCCAGGGAUAGGCAACCUUCAGCAUUCCAGAUGAUGUGAACUACAUCCCCCAUAAUACUCUUACACCCAUAAUGCUGGCAAAGCAUCAUGGGAGGUGUAGUCCAAAACAUCUGGAGUGCUGAAGAUUGCCGUUGCCUGGGCCCUAGUCCAUGGGUCCUCAAACUCUGGCCCCCCAGAUGUUGCUGAACUACAACUCCCAUGAUUCUUUGAAUUACA